UCAUCUACCACAAUUGGUGAAAAUUAUAUGCCUUGUAUAUCUAAAGCAUCUGAUGCUAAAAUUCUCAAGUCUCAGAUUGGACUUGUGACAUGAUAUUCAUGUUAUUAUUAUUCCCAUUUCACAAGAUGUUAUUAUUAUUAUUAUUAAUAUAUUCCCACUUAUGUGUAACAUGACUAUAAAUAUUAGAGUACAUUGAGGCAACUAGAAACUCAGACCCAAAUUAAAAUAUUUCUUGUGUUGUUCACAAUUAAAAUGGCAUCAAUGAAAGCUGAGAAACCAGUUGGUACUCAACCAUCUACCUCUACAAUCAAGAAACCAUCAACUAAGGCUCCUCCUACUUCCAAAUCCGCCCCGAAAAAGGCUCGCGAACCUAAGAAAAAAGCAUCAGGUAGCAAGGCAGGUGGAAAGAAAUAAGAAGAAGAAGAAGUUGGAGUAAUUAAUUAGAGUAUGAUGAAGAAUAUAUUUGUCGAUGUUUAAAAUUAUGAGUGAUGUACUUUCUUCUCUUAAUGAAAUAAUCUCAUACUCUUUACCUUUAAAA